GCGCUAGUAGCUCAGUGGUCAGAGCGCCGCCGCAUGAGGGACGGCGGAGGUCGCCGGAUCGAUUCCGGCCUAGCGCU
rnacentral:tRNA from 1 species